UUUCUGCCUUGUCAUUGCAGGAACGUUCUAGUUGGUUCGGAUUGUCAACUGCCGUAUCAGAAUGACUGCCAUAGGGAAUCGCCACUUCCAUGAGAUUGCGUCACUGGAGCAGAUUCAAAGGUUCGAAUUGGAGCAUUAGUCCGCCGAGGCCUUCCAUAUGCUGGAGUGAAUGGCGUGAGCGCAAAAUAGACUCGGAAGCGAUACGGAUGCGGAAGCUGUACAGG